rnacentral:rRNA from 1 species
UAACACCAGCGCCACGAGUGGCAACCAGAAUUAUUGGGCCUAAAGCGUCCGUAGCCGGUUGAGUAAAUCUUUUGUGAAAUCGUCAAGCUUAACUUGACGGCGCGCAGAAGACACUACACAACUAGGGACCGGGAGGAGUCAGAGGUAUGCCAAGGGGAGCGGUAAAAUGCUAUAAUCCUUGGUGGACCACCUGUGGCGAAGGCGUCUGACCAGAACGGAUCUGACGGUGAGGGAAGAAAGCUAGGGGAGCGAACCGGAUUAGAUACCCGAGUAGUCCCAGCCGUAAACGAUGCAGACUAGGUGUUGGGUUGGCCACGCGCCGACUCAGUGCCACAGGGAAGCCAUUAAGUCUGCUGCCUGGGAAGUACGGCCGCAAGGCUG